rnacentral:rRNA from 1 species
UCGGAUCCUUCGGGGUGAAGAAGCUUUAACCUAGCGGCGGACGGGUGAGUAACGCGUGGGUAACCUACCCCAAAGUCCGGGAUAACAGCGGGAAACCGCUGCUAAUACCGGAUGCCUUUACCUUGGGGCAUCUUGAGGUAAAGAAAGGUAACGCUUUGGGAUGGGCCCGCGUCCCAUUAGCUAGUUGGUGAGGUAACGGCUCACCAAGGCGACGAUGGGUAGCCGGCCUGAGAGGGUGGACGGCCACACUGGGACUGAGACACGGCCCAGACUCCUACGGGAGGCAGCAGUGGGGAAUUUUGCGCAAUGGGGGCAACCCUGACGCAGCGACGCCGCGUGGGUGAUGAAGGCCUUCGGGUUGUAAAGCCCUGUUGGGGGGGAAGAUAAUGACGGUACCCCCUGAGGAAGCCCCGGCUAACUACGUGCCAGCAGCCGCGGUAAGACGUAGGGGGCGAGCGUUGUCCGGAAUUACUGGGCGUAAAGGGCGUGUAGGCGGCCUUUCAAGUCGGCUGUGAAAUACCCCGGCUCAACCGGGGGGGUGCAGUCGAAACUGGGGGGCUUGAGUGCAGGAGAGGGGGGUGGAAUUCCCGGUGGAGCGGUGAUAUGCGUAGAUAUCGGGAGGAACACCGGUGGCGAAGGCGACCUUCUGGCCUGUUACUGACGCUGAGGCGCGAAAGCCGGGGGAGCAAACAGGAUUAGAUACCCUGGUAGUCCCGGCCGUAAACGCUGGGUACUAGGUGUAGGGGGCUUUGAUGCCUUCUGUGCCGUAGUUAACGCAUUAAGUACCCCGCCUGGGGAGUACGAUCGCAAGGUUGAAACUCAAAUGAAUUGACGG